rnacentral:rRNA from 1 species
CGACCGCUGGCGGCGUGCCUAAUACAUGCACGUCGCGCGGACCGAACCGGAGCUUGCUCUUGUUCGGUUAGCGGCGGACGGGUGAGUAACACGUGGGUAACCUGCCCGUAAGACCGGGAUAACUCCGGGAAACCGGAGCUAAUACCGGAUAACACCGAAGACCGCAUGGUCUUUGGUUGAAAGGCGGCUUCGGCUGCCACUUACGGAUGGGCCCGCGGCGCAUUAGCUAGUUGGUGAGGUAACGGCUCACCAAGGCGACGAUGCGUAGCCGGCCUGAGAGGGUGACCGGCCACACUGGGACUGAGACACGGCCCAGACUCCUACGGGAGGCAGCAGGAGGGAAUCUUCCGCAAUGGACGAAAGUCUGACGGAGCGACGCCGCGUGAGCGAAGAAGGGCUUCGGAUCGUAAAGCUCUGUUGUUAGGGAAGAAGAAGCGUCGUUCGAACAGGGCGGCGCGGUGACGGUACCUAACGAGAAAGCCCCGGCUAACUACGUG